AGUGAACGCUGGCGGCAGGCCUAACACAUGCAAGUCGAACGGCAGCACAGUGGAGCUUGCUCCAUGGGUGGCGAGUGGCGGACGGGUGAGGAAUACAUCGGAAUCUGCCCAGUCGUGGGGGAUAACAUAGGGAAACUUAUGCUAAUACCGCAUACGACCUACGGGUGAAAGCGGGGGAUCGCAAGACCUCGCGCGAUUGGAUGAGCCGAUGUCCGAUUAGCUAGUUGGCGGGGUAAUGGCCCACCAUGGCGACGAUCGGUAGCUGGUCUGAGAGGAUGAUCAGCCACACUGGAACUGAGCCACGGUCCAGACUCCUACGGGAGGCAGCAGUGGGGAAUAUUGGACAAUGGGCGCAAGCCUGAUCCAGCCAUGCCGCGUGGGUGAAGAAGGCCUUCGGGUUGUAAAGCCCUUUUGUCCGGAAAGAAACGCCUCGGAUUAAUACUCUGGGGUAAUGACGGUACCGGAAGAAUAAGCACCGGCUAACUUCGUGCCAGCCGCCGCCGUAA
rnacentral:rRNA from 1 species